GCGUCCUUAGCUCAGUUGGUUAGAGCGUCACGUUGACAUCGUGGAGGUCACUGGUUCGAAUCCUGUAGGACGCA
rnacentral:tRNA from 1 species